AUGUCUGAAUGGAAGAGUGUAUUACUAUGUGUGAUGUCUGAAUGGAAGAGUGUAUUACUAUGUGUGAUGUCUGAAUGGAAGAGUGUAUUACUAUGUGUGAUGUCUGAAUGGAAGAGUGUAUUACUAUGUGUGAUGUCUGAGUGGAAGAGUGUAUUACUGUGUGUGAUGUCUGAAUGGAAGAGUGUAUUACUAUGUGUGAUGUCUGAAUGGAAGAGUGUAUUACUAUGUGUGAUGUCUGAAUGGAAGAGUGUAUUACUAUGUGUGAUGUCUGAAUGGAAGAGUGUAUUACUAUGUGUGAUGUCUGAAUGGAAGAGUGUAUUACUAUGUGUGAUGUCUGAAUGGAAGAGUGUAUUACUAUGUGUGAUGUCUGAAUGGAAGAGUGUAUUACUAUGUGUGAUGUCUGAAUGGAAGAGUGUAUUACUAUGUGUGAUGUCUGAAUGGAAGAGUGUAUUACUAUGUGUGAUGUCUGAAUGGAAGAGUGUAUUACUAUGUGUGAUGUCUGAAUGGAAGAGUGUAUUACUAUGUGUGAUGUCUGAAUGGAAGAGUGUAUUACUAUGUGUGAUGUCUGAAUGGAAGAGUGUAUUACUAUGUGUGAUGUCUGAAUGGAAGAGUGUAUUACUAUGUGUGAUGUCUGAAUGGAAGAGUGUAUUACUAUGUGUGAUGUCUGAAUGGAAGAGUGUAUUACUAUGUGUGAUGUCUGAAUGGAAGAGUGUAUUACUAUGUGUGAUGUCUGAAUGGAAGAGUGUAUUACUAUGUGUGAUGUCUGAAUGGAAGAGUGUAUUACUAUGUGUGAUGUCUGAGUGGAAGAGUGUAUUACUAUGUGUGAUGUCUGAAUGGAAGAGUGUAUUACUAUGUGUGAUGUCUGAGUGGAAGAGUGUAUUACUGUGUGUGAUGUCUGAAUGGAAGAGUGUAUUACUAUGUGUGAUGUCUGAAUGGAAGAGUGUAUUACUAUGUGUGAUGUCUGAAUGGAAGAGUGUAUUACUAUGUGUGAUGUCUGAAUGGAAGAGUGUAUUACUAUGUGUGAUGUCUGAAUGGAAGAGUGUAUUACUAUGUGUGAUGUCUGAAUGGAAGAGUGUAUUACUAUGUGUGAUGUCUGAAUGGAAGAGUGUAUUACUAUGUGUGAUGUCUGAAUGGAAGAGUGUAUUACUAUGUGUGAUGUCUGAAUGGAAGAGUGUAUUACUAUGUGUGAUGUCUGAAUGGAAGAGUGUAUUACUAUGUGUGAUGUCUGAAUGGAAGAGUGUAUUACUAUGUGUGAUGUCUGAAUGGAAGAGUGUAUUACUAUGUGUGAUGUCUGAGUGGAAGAGUGUAUUACUAUGUGUGAUGUCUGAAUGGAAGAGUGUAUUACUAUGUGUGAUGUCUGAAUGGAAGAGUGUAUUACUAUGUGUGAUGUCUGAAUGGAAGAGUGUAUUACUAUGUGUGAUGUCUGAAUGGAAGAGUGUAUUACUAUGUGUGAUGUCUGAAUGGAAGAGUGUAUUACUAUGUGUGAUGUCUGAAUGGAAGAGUGUAUUACUAUGUGUGAUGUCUGAAUGGAAGAGUGUAUUACUAUGUGUGAUGUCUGAAUGGAAGAGUGUAUUACUAUGUGUGAUGUCUGAAUGGAAGAGUGUAUUACUAUGUGUGAUGUCUGAAUGGAAGAGUGUAUUACUAUGUGUGAUGUCUGAAUGGAAGAGUGUAUUACUAUGUGUGAUGUCUGAAUGGAAGAGUGUAUUACUAUGCGUGAUGUCUGAAUGGAAGAGUGUAUUACUAUGUGUGAUGUCUGAAUGGAAGAGUGUAUUACUAUGCGUGAUGUCUGAAUGGAAGAGUGUAUUACUAUGCGUGAUGUCUGAAUGGAAGAGUGUAUUACUAUGCGUGAUGUCUGAAUGGAAGAGUGUAUUACUAUGCGUGAUGUCUGAAUGGAAGAGUGUAUUACUAUGUGUGAUGUCUGAAUGGAAGAGUGUAUUACUAUGUGUGAUGUCUGAGUGGAAGAGUGUAUUACUAUGUGUGAUGUCUGAAUGGAAGAGUGUAUUACUAUGUGUGAUGUCUGAGUGGAAGAGUGUAUUACUAUGUGUGAUGUCUGAAUGGAAGAGUGUAUUACUAUGUGUGAUGUCUGAGUGGAAGAGUGUAUUACUAUGUGUGAUGUCUGAAUGGAAGAGUGUAUUACUAUGUGUGAUGUCUGAAUGGAAGAGUGUAUUACUAUGUGUGAUGUCUGAAUGGAAGAGUGUAUUACUAUGUGUGAUGUCUGAAUGGAAGAGUGUAUUACUAUGUGUGAUGUCUGAAUGGAAGAGUGUAUUACUAUGUGUGAUGUCUGAAUGGAAGAGUGUAUUACUAUGUGUGAUGUCUGAGUGGAAGAGUGUAUUACUAUGUGUGAUGUCUGAAUGGAAGAGUGUAUUACUAUGUGUGAUGUCUGAGUGGAAGAGUGUAUUACUAUGUGUGAUGUCUGAAUGGAAGAGUGUAUUACUAUGUGUGAUGUCUGAAUGGAAGAGUGUAUUACUAUGUGUGAUGUCUGAAUGGAAGAGUGUAUUACUAUGUGUGAUGUCUGAAUGGAAGAGUGUAUUACUAUGUGUGAUGUCUGAAUGGAAGAGUGUAUUACUAUGUGUGAUGUCUGAAUGGAAGAGUGUAUUACUAUGCGUGAUGUCUGAAUGGAAGAGUGUAUUACUAUGUGUGAUGUCUGAAUGGAAGAGUGUAUUACUAUGUGUGAUGUCUGAAUGGAAGAGUGUAUUACUAUGUGUGAUGUCUGAGUGGAAGAGUGUAUUACUAUGUGUGAUGUCUGAAUGGAAGAGUGUAUUACUAUGUGUGAUGUCUGAGUGGAAGAGUGUAUUACUAUGUGUGAUGUCUGAAUGGAAGAGUGUAUUACUAUGUGUGAUGUCUGAGUGGAAGAGUGUAUUACUAUGUGUGAUGUCUGAAUGGAAGAGUGUAUUACUAUGUGUGAUGUCUGAAUGGAAGAGUGUAUUACUAUGUGUGAUGUCUGAAUGGAAGAGUGUAUUACUAUGUGUGAUGUCUGAAUGGAAGAGUGUAUUACUAUGUGUGAUGUCUGAAUGGAAGAGUGUAUUACUAUGUGUGAUGUCUGAAUGGAAGAGUGUAUUACUAUGUGUGAUGUCUGAGUGGAAGAGUGUAUUACUAUGUGUGAUGUCUGAAUGGAAGAGUGUAUUACUAUGUGUGAUGUCUGAGUGGAAGAGUGUAUUACUAUGUGUGAUGUCUGAAUGGAAGAGUGUAUUACUAUGUGUGAUGUCUGAAUGGAAGAGUGUAUUACUAUGUGUGAUGUCUGAAUGGAAGAGUGUAUUACUAUGUGUGAUGUCUGAAUGGAAGAGUGUAUUACUAUGUGUGAUGUCUGAAUGGAAGAGUGUAUUACUAUGUGUGAUGUCUGAGUGGAAGAGUGUAUUACUAUGUGUGAUGUCUGAAUGGAAGAGUGUAUUACUAUGUGUGAUGUCUGAGUGGAAGAGUGUAUUACUAUGUGUGAUGUCUGAGUGGAAGAGUGUAUUACUAUGUGUGAUGUCUGAAUGGAAGAGUGUAUUACAGUUUAAUAGGUUAAAUGUUGUGGCACUUAUGGCAACUGAGGAAAGGAUUCUUCAGUCUUAA
ensembl:lncRNA